GAAGACAUAUAUGAGAUUUAUGAAGGGGAUUUGGUUGUAGCUGGUUCAUUAAUUUGGGCAUGUGCACACCUUCUCUCUUUCAUCCACACACACCUGUGCACCUGUGAGGCAGAUGGGGAAUUUAUUGAUUGUUCUCUAAGAACAAUUGGUGUUGGACCCUCUGUCUACUCAAUACAUAUAAACUCAAUUUAUUUAGAAAUGAAUGUAAUGGAUGUAACGCAUCUAAUACUAAGUUUCAACAACGGAUCUCUUGGCUCUCGCAUCGAUGAAGAACGCAGCGAAAUGCGAUAAGUAAUGUGAAUUGCAGAAUUCAGUGAAUCAUCGAAUCUUUGAACGCACCUUGCGCUCCUUGGUAUUCCUUGGAGCAUGCCUGUUUGAGUAUCAUGAAAUCUUCAAAGUAAAAUCUUUUGUUAAUUCAAUUGGUUUUGCCUUGGUCUUGGAGGUCUUUGCAGCUUCACACCUGCUCCUCUUUGUGUAUUAGCUGGAUCUCAGUGUUAUGCUUGGUUCCACUCGGCGUGAUAAGUUAUCUAUCGCUGAGGACACUGUAAUAGGUGGCCAAGGGAAAUGCAGAUGAACCGCUCCUAAUAGUCCAUUCACUUGGACACUAUUUCUUAUGAUCUGAUCUCAAAUCAGGUAGGACUACCCGCUGAACUUAAGCAUAUCAUAAAGGCGGAAGGAA
rnacentral:rRNA from 1 species